rnacentral:lncRNA from 1 species
GCCAAGUAAGUGAAGAUGAGUGGGGCUCCCCCCAUUGCUUUCCUUAGAUACUAACGAAUUGGUUAGGUCAGACAAUGAAACUAAUUAAAGAACCACCAUCUAAGACUUACCUUAGACACCAAAUUGGUUGAUUAAAAUCAAUUAGGUUAACCUAUAGACCCGGGCUCGAACCAUUGAGCCAAAUUCGAUCUUGACUUAAUCAAUU